rnacentral:rRNA from 1 species
CAGCCGCCGCGGGAAUACGUAGGUGGCAAGCGUUGUCCGGAAUUAUUGGGCGUAAAGGGCUCGCAGGCGGUUUCUUAAGUCUGAUGUGAAAGCCCCCGGCUCAACCGGGGAGGGUCAUUGGAAACUGGGAAACUUGAGUGCAGAAGAGGAGGGUGGAAUUCCACGUGUAGCGGUGAAAUGCGUAGAGAUGUGGAGGAACACCAGUGGCGAAGGCGACUCUCUGGUCUGUAACUGACGCUGAGGAGCGAAAGCGUGGGGAGCGAACAGGAUUAGAUACCCGAGUAGUCCCUGUCUCUUAUAC